rnacentral:rRNA from 1 species
UACGUAGGGUGCGAGCGUUGUCCGGAAUUAUUGGGCGUAAAGAGCUCGUAGGCGGUCUGUCGCGUCGAAAUGUGAAACCCGGGGCUCAACUCCGGGCUUGCAUUCGAUACGGGCAGGCUAGAGUUCGGUAGGGGAGUCUGGAAUUCCUGGUGUAGCGGUGAAAUGCGCAGAUAUCAGGAGGAACACCGGUGGCGAAGGCGGCCUGCUGGGCUAUGGCUGACACUGAGGCGCGACAGCGUGGGGAGCAAACAGG